ensembl:lncRNA
AGUAUUUUUCUUUUGAGCACUUUAUCAGGACUGAGUGAACUUUUCUUGGCUCUGGCAUCUACAUAGCAGCACGUGUGCCAGAUAAGUAUGCAACGCCACACAGAAGUGUGUGUGUGUGUGUGUGUGUGUGUGUGUGUGUGUGUGUGUGUGUGUGUGUGUUGUGUGUGUGUGUGUUAAAGAGUUAAAAACAGGGCAGGGUUUCUUAUGACAACCAUUUAUGGGAUUGUCUCGUCCAACAACAGUUUUUAGUUCCUCCAGCUCUUCACAGCCACAGUGUUCCCUCAGCAAUGAGUUGCCUGAGCAACAGUGUGUCCAUGCUUGGUGAUAGAUGCCACCUGUUCAUUACAGCAGUUCAGCAGAAGCUUUAGAGCAGUUUGUUGUCACAACAAAUAAAUGUUAUGCACAUCAACUGUUUCCAAGGAUGCUUCAGGAGAGCCAGCAACCAUUUAGCCAGAUAACUUCACUACAGUGUGACAGUUGUUUAAGCGAUUCAGUCAAUCAGGGUCUUGGCUGAGCCAAAGAUAGACAUAAAGGAUGAUCUAUCAGUGCAGCCAGAGCACAAUCUUAGAAAUGCUUUAUUAUUUAAAAAGUUCAUAGAACUCUUUCCACACUCAGGUCCUCAGCCAGUUCAAUAUACCUCUUUAUGGUUCACUGUGAAGAAAGGUUCAGUGUAGAUCUUUAUGGUUCACUGUGAAGAAAGGUUCAGUGUACAUCCUUAUGGUUCACUGGUUGUCAAGAAGCGCUCAGAAUGAUUCUGAGAUGAAAUCCUCAUUAGGAGGAGAGCCUCUAAGUAGACUCUUUGAAGGCUCCUCAGUGUGGUUCAGGCUCUGGCUCGGUAGCCUUUGAAGGUUUCUCGACUCUUCUAGUCCUUUUUCCUGGAGUCUAGCGGCUAUGGAGAAUACAGGAAGAGAAACUAGUGGAGGCCCAAAGGAGCGACACUUGGGCCGCGGCCAGCGACCGCUCCUCUCGCUGGCACAAGAGUUAAAAACAGCCCCGGUUGUGGUCAGCAGCCGUCAUCAUUAGGGAUGG